GUACAGCCAAUCACACCCACCAGGUCAGCUUAUAGCCCUGAUGGGAGGAGAUCUUCUACACCCUAUAAGAAGGUCCUAAGGAAUUUCUAUGACACGGCUAAGGGUUCUUAAUGAUGGCCUUGGAAUUAAAACCACUUGGCGCCUCCGCUGAGUACGGUUCCAGAUCAAUUUCCAUUUGAGAUUUCAAUCCUUCAGGCUGGUGCUCGCCAGGGCGGAGUGUUUUGUUGAGCUAGCUGCGACGGUAAAGGGGGCGGAAACGCCGGAACGGUUUGCACUCAGUGGUUUACAGCGUGGACUAGCCAGGUUUUUCUUUUCCGUCGUUUCCACAUGAUUUCGCACAUCAGCGUCAGGGUACAGGCCUUUAAGUCGCGUACGCCUCGAGUGUUCCUCCAGAUCUUUGCGCACUCCCGGGUAUACAAGGUAUUCCACUUGAUCCCUGCAUUCAAGUCUGCCAGUAGCCAAUGUCCCGACACGGGGAGACCGAAAAUUUAACAUCAAGACAAGAAACCGCGUACGCGCGGCCCCACUCAAAAAUACCGGACAACGCUUGCCACUAACGAAUUACCGCGGCUGGUAGCUAGAAGUUAACCCGGCUCUUUGAUGAGGGACCACAAGCGGUAUUCCCUACGCAUGUUUUUAUAACAAAGAGCUAACAUCACGAAACGAUCUCUCAUAAAGACGCGGGGARCRGGAUGGGGGCCUUCCUGCGACCCCUUUCUUUAGUUUAAGCACCUUGAUGGGUGUUGAUUGGGCUGGGUGGCCUAAAUAACCUCGUUGAUGAGGCGAUCCCUGGCCUAAGAUGACGGGCGGAAAUCCCCCCCCGAGAGGGGGGUCGUCCACCCCGGGGUCUCAGAGGGAGGCCCAGAGUGCUGAUGUGGAACAGCGGAGGGGAAAUUUACACCAAGGUGGCGAGCGUGAUGAAGGGGCUCCGCAAGAUUUAUAACGGCUUACGGGUGGAAGACCUCUUUAAGCACGGAAGCAUUGUGGGUGGCGGUACCUGGCAAAGAAACACCCCUCAAUUCCAUCCCCCCCACCACGGUAUUAUGCAGGGGGCGCUCGUAUCAUCAAUUAUUGGGGGUAAAGAGCUCGUAGUCGGUUUUUUUCGUCUUUUAUGUAACUUUGCAACUUAAUUUCAGGAGUGCCGCCGAUACAGGCAGACUUCAGUAGCACAGGGGAGACGGGAAUUCCCGGUGGGGCGGUGGGAAAAGCAGAAAUCAGGAGGAACACCCCAGGGGAGGAGGCGUCUUUGUGUACUAACUCUGUUGAGCGGGAAAAAGCCUGGGCGAACAGGAUUAGAUACCCCCUAGUCCACGCCCUUACGCUAGAGGGAAAAAGGGAUUCCUUUUCACCCCUCAUUGCUGCAGCUAACGCAUUAAGUACUCCUCC
rnacentral:rRNA from 1 species